AAAGUCUGUGAUGGAAUUUGGUUGGAGUUUACAUUGACCAGGAACAAUCGCAGCUGAAAUUCUUGCUGGAUCGUGUCAUUUUUUAUUUGCAUCAGUCUAAGGAAUGCAUGGAGUCCAUCCGAACCUGUUAUCAUCCUUGCCAUCUGUUUCUGGAAUGCGCCAAGAGCUUAACCGUUACUUCGGUACAGGUACACGUCGGUAAGAUGAAUAAUACUGGGGACACGUUUGCCGACUAGUUUGAGGCGAAUAUCUCCGGGCGUUGGGAGAGUGUGGUUUGCUCCAAGCGCUGCCUCGAGUCCGGUGGAAUAAUCGGCGCAGAUACGCAUGUAUGCCAAUGAUAAGGAGCUGCCCGAUCGGAGAAUUUGAUGAGCGUGAUAAUAUCCAUACGUUGGAGCAGUUCCGAUUCUUCUUCUACUUUUUAAGCGGCACAGAAAGGAACCGCUCGCUUGUAUCAAAAAAUUGACUGCCCAUCGUGUUUUAGGUUCAGACGAACUUUAGUUUUAGUGCAGUGACUCAGAUGUUAUUAAAAAAAACUUCGAAGCCCCGAGUUAGGAAGUGCUAAUCAUUACAAAGGAACUUGGAAAGUUUCACCUGAUUGCAGUGUGCAGCAAGUGGUUUUAACCAAAGAUCGAAUGCAUUCAUCAGUCCAUUCCAAUUACGUUUAGAUAUUUGACCGAAAUUACGUAGAAAUACUCCAUUCGAACUGGCUUAUGAUGUUCAAUGUACUGAACUCCCCUACCGAAUCAAGAGGUUCUUCAUGCACGAAUGUUACAUCCAUUUGUGUGGAAUUGAACGUAGGUCAAUAAUCUUAUAAUUUUUUUGUGUGAUCACCGAAAUGUCGAAACAAAAGUCGAGCUUAAGAUCCGCUUAGGAGCCGUAGAAGUUGACGGAAACAUAUCUCGUACGACUCUGUAU